rnacentral:rRNA from 1 species
AGAGUUUGAUCCUGGCUCAGAAUGAACGUUGGCGGCGUGGAUUAGGCAUGCAAGUCGUACGGGCCGCAAGGCCAGUGGCGCAAGGGUGAGUAAGGCGACGGUAACCAACCCCGUGAUUGGGUAUAGCCGCGGGAAACUGCGGGUAAUCCCCAGCGACGUCGAGGGGGGGCAUCUCCCCUGACCAAAGCUCCGGCGUCGCGGGACGGGCCGUCGUGGUAUUAGGUUGUUGGCGGGGUAACGGCCCACCAAGCCUGUGAUGCCUACCGGGCGUGCGAGCGUGGCCCGGCACACUGGGACUGAGACACUGCCCAGACUCCUACGGGAGGCUGCAGUCGAGAAUCUUCGGCAAUGGGCGCAAGCCUGACCGAGCGACGCCGCGUGGAGGACGAAGGCCUUCGGGUUGUAAACUCCUGUCGAGGGGGAAGAAGCCGCAAGGUUGACUGAUCCCUGGAGGAAGCACGGGCUAAGUUCGUGCCAGCAGCCGCGGUAAU